GUUCAAAUAUGUGAGUCUAUGGUGGGUAUUUCUCAUCCAAGCCACAACACUCCCUAACUGACUCGCCACUACUGUACCAUUAUCUUGCCCGGCUCUUCAGUAUCGUUCAUCCAGAGACCAUAGGUUUUGAAUUUGUCCUCAUCUGUUCGUGUGAUGACUGUGAGAAAGUUCCCGACAUACACUGCACACUCAAGUGUGUGUGCUGAGAGGAGAAAUGGAGGAGGGAAUUGAACUCAGCCGAGACAUGAAGUUCCCUUUGAUGUCUAAGGUGCUAACUCGUGUGUGUAGCUCACUGAGACCGGAGAACACGCCUUACCCUCAGUCUGUUCAAACACCAAAGCCCCUGGAAGAAGCGUUUGCUUGGCCAAGCUUCUUUCACGGUCCAGAAGGGCAGUCCAGGACAUUUCUGUUGGAAGGGGAUUCCAAGCACAGAUUUGUGAAUCAACAAGUUGGUGUCCAGGAAUUACCAAUGAAGUGAGUACAAAGGUUAAUUGACCUUAAAAUACCACCAAUCAUUGGUUUGUUUGUUUGUGUUUUGAGACAGAGUUUUUCUGUGUAGCCCUGGUUGUCCUAAACCUCAGAGAUGCCCCCCGUCUCUGCCUACCCAGUGCUGGAAUUAAAGUCAUGUGUCACCAUGCCUGGUAGA
rnacentral:lncRNA from 1 species